ensembl:lncRNA
GUCUUUUUAAAACAUCUAGCCAUUUAGUUACAUUUUCAGCAUAUCAAAAUACAUUUAUUUUUUUCCGUAACUGUGUAUUUAGGGGAAGAGAAGAUUUCUUAUAAUUGAAAUCAUUGAAGGCUAAAUUUUGAUUCCCUGGGCACAUUCUCUUAACUGUGGCAGAGGUACCUGUCAUGUGAUUUACACAGUGAAUGGCCCUGCUUUUGGAGCAAGUUAAUGUUAUAAUAUCCCCAUUUAUAUUCAGAACAGUCAACACUUUUGAGCUCUCAGAAUAAUAAAAGCACCUGCAUUUAAUAUACAUGGAAGAAUGGAAAGGCAAAUAGCAGAUAAGGCACAAUCAGACAUCUCCAAAUUUUAGUGAAAUCUGCUCGACACUUCUGAAUGCCUCUACGUCUCCAUGAUGGAUCAGAAAUAUGCAUAUCUCUACAAGGAUAGCAUGGAAGAAAAGAACUGUCUCUAGGGGCACACAGGUGGCUGCUCUGUGGACAUGUGCCAUCCGAACACGAUUGUGCUACUCCUUUGUCACUCAAGACUAAGAGCCAUUACUAGGUUCCAGACAACAUAAGCUAAUUCUGGCUAGAAUUUAUUGAUGAAGACUCAGAUCUUGAAAUCUGAAUUUAAAACAACCAGCUUUUGGAUGAGCCAGACCAAGGACCCCCAGGGACCUUAGAAGCAGAAGAUAAUGGACCUUUUCUAUAGAACAUUGGACUCUUUGUUUCUCACCUUUAGUGGCCUGAUGUCAAAUGGGUCAUCUUAGUCAAGAAGGCAGGCAGGACCAUGUAUUACAAGCCUAAUUGCUGGGGAUUUUUCUGUAUCUGAAGCAAUUAUAGGCAAAGGGAAUGUUUAGAAGUAAUAAAAUUUUAAGACUUUAAGGGUGAAUGACAGAUAAACUACACAUAUUUAAAGUAUAUAAUUUGGUAUAUUUUGACAUGUGUGUAUACACACCAGGAAACUAUCACCAUAAUGAAGAAAAUGAAGAUAUCCAUAUCUCUGCUGGUUUCCUUUCGUCCUUUUUUCUUUCUUCUCUCUCAGUCCUGUGUCCCUCUUCCUGUACCCAGGCAUCAGCUGACCUGCUUCUGUCAUUGUGGAUUAGUUUGCACUUUCUAGAAUUUUACUUAAAUGGGAUCAUAAGUUCUUUUCUGACUUUUUUCAUUCAGUGUAAUUAUUUUGAGACUUAUCCAUGCUGUAGUAUUUAUCAGUACCUUAUUGCUUUUUAUGGGUGAUUAAUGUUCCAUUGGCUGGCUAUACUAUAGUUUAUUCAUUAAGCUGUUGAUGACAUUAGGGUUCUAGUUUGAGGCUAUUACUGAUAAAGUUGGUAUGAAUAUUUACAUGCAAGUGUUUUCUUUUAGACAUUUGUUUUCAUUUCUCUUGAGUAAAACCUAGGAGUAGAAUGGCCUGGUAAUCCUGUAGGUGGGUGUUUUACUUUUUCAUCAACUGCCAAGAAGUUUUUCAAAGUGGUUGUAUAAUUUUCUAUUCCUACUGGCAACAUGUGAGAGUUCUGGUUCUCUAUCAUCACUAGCACUUGGUUAUAUCCAGGACUUACUUUUUUUUUAUUAAGUUUAUUGGUACAUUUUAGGUAUACAAUACAGUUACUUUCACCAUUGGUAUCUUGUACCUUUACAUGAUAUAUAUUGGUUCUUAUUUUUUCCCCCUUCUCCUGCCAUCCCUUCAACCCCUCCACCCUUCCCUAUUUACAAAGACUUUGUUUCCAUUUUUUCAUUUUCUCAUAAUUUUUCCUUUCCCUUCUUUCCUUUCCCCUACCCCUCCCACUUUCCCUUCCUCCUUUGAACCUUUUCUUCCUAUUUCACGUUAUCAAUCAUACAUUUUGAUCCUUAUUUAUACUUUUAGUUUCUCACACCAGAGAAACUAUUUGGUAUUUACAUAUGCAUGCCCUGUUUAUUUCACUUAAGAGUUGCAUAUCGAGGCCAUACUUUAAGUGAAAUAAAUGGGACACAUGUGUAAAUAGCGAAUAGUUUCUGUAGUGUGAGAAACUGAUAGUGUAAAUAAGAGUUAAAAUGAUUAAAAUGAAUAAUUGAUAAUUUGAAAUAGGAAGAA